UCGCGAGAGCGGCUGUGGAGCCCCCGGCGGGAGGAUGCGGCCAGCUGCUGGGGGCUGCGAGGGCGGUGUGAGGACUAGAGGGCUUGAGGGGCCACGAGGAGAGAGAGAGGGCAAGGCCGAGUCCAACACUGAGGUCCCUUGUGGAGCGACUUGGGGCUGCUGAGGGUGGACCCGGAAAGACUGAGAAUCAAGUUCCCCAGGCUGGGGGGAGCUGAGGGAGAGAAGCAAGGACCGGGAAGGCGGAGGCUCCUCGGUGUCGGAGGCUUCCCGCUGGAAGAGGCCUCCAAGGCCGUGGAGUUCAGUCCUUUCAUUUACCCGGAAGUCACCCGAGUAACUCAGCUAGCCUGAGUUCUGAAGGGAAUUCCCUCCUGGAGUCGGAAGACCCAUCUCGGCCCUGUGGUCGUUUCAUCCCCCAGUAUUUAUCCUGGCCAGCAUAUGAGACAUUUUCUUCAUAGAGCAAAGCUGGAACCAAGCCAGUCGCCUGUGGAGGGGCAGCUCUAGCCCCUAGGGCUCCUGAACCCUAAGUCCUGGGUCCUUUGCACCAUAUGGCGCUGCUUCCUCAUUACCAGGACUUGGACAAGAGAUGCCUCAGUUAUGUGGAAGGAAUUAUGCCUCAAGAGGGAAUCCACCUAGGGUCAAGUCUACCUGGCUAGAAUCUGUGGGCUGUGAAGUGGCUCCCAAAUGAUCAUCCAAAAAACAUUUGAGUGCCCUUGAUGCCAGGGGCUGUGCUAGGCUCACAGGGUACAAAUCCAAAAAGAAGUAAUUCCUACUCCUAGGAGCUUAUACUCUAUGGGAGAAAACUAUCACCUACCCCUGUGUUCUGCAUUCAGCUAGCAUUCAAUAAACAUCUGAUGAAUAAGGAACAUUCUGCUCAUCCAAAAUGUGUUGCAACAAGUGUCAACACAGCUGGCAGAGCAACAGCUUCAAGGAGCUCAUUGUUAUCGCACCUCUGUCGCUGUUCAGGAUUUACUAUGGUCAGACCUAAGUAAACCGUCAUCUAGUAACAAUAAUGACUGGUCCACGACAUAAAGGAUAUCAUCGAAAACAGUGUUGUACUGGUACCACGCAAAAUAUUGAAAGAACCAGAAUAAGGUCUCCAGUAUGUUGGGUGUAUUCUUUAUACUAUGGAGGAUUUUGUGAAAGAGAAUUGUAUCCAAUGAGUUGCCUGCUAUCUGCACUUGAGGAGGGAGUGCUUGCGGCGGUGAAACCACGGAUCCACUAAAGUAUGGUCAAAUGAUACUGGCAUUAAAGAUCUAUGAGUUUUGUCAGUGUGGGAACUCCCCUCACCAGCAAAGAUUGCAGCCCAUUUCUGAGGCUCAGAAGGGUUAAGUGACUUGCCCACGGGAAUGUUAUAUCCCUGUCUGGAAGUGACAGCUACUUCCUGCCAGUCCAAGGAAGCAACUCCCGUGGAGAAGGAGCCGAUAAUCCUUGCCAACUGCCAUAUACAAGGCAGGGAAGUCAGUGGAGCUGAUGCAGCAGAACACCCUGAAGGAGAGACAGGAAGCAACAUGUGCCGUGCAAGUUGGACCCCUACCAUCACUUUGGCUACCAUCUCUUCUGAGACCCCUGAAGGCAGCUCCAGGCCCAGAACCCAAAAGCCUUGGGAAUAGCAGCUCUUUAAAAAAAGAAGAAGAAGGAAAAGGGGCAGCUAGGUGGCACAGUGGUUAG